rnacentral:rRNA from 1 species
CACGCCGUAAACGAUGAAUGCCAGUCGUCGGUGCGCAUGCGUAUCGGUGACACACCUAACGGAUUAAGCAUUCCGCCUGGGGAGUACGGUCGCAAGAUUAAAACUCAAAGGAAUUGACGGGGGCCCGCACAAGCGGUGGAGUAUGUGGUUUAAUUCGAUGCAACGCGAAGAACCUUACCUAGGUUUGACAUCCACGGAACCCUCCCUAAAAGGAGGGGUGCCCUUCGGGGAGCCGUGAGACAGGUGC